rnacentral:lncRNA from 1 species
AAUAAUAAUACCCACUCCUGGAAGGCUUCUUGCUGCAGUGAGAGGGGGGCAGGUAACACACCGGAUCCUUACUGGCCCAUUCCGUCUGUAAGGCUGACAGCAUUCUCUGAGGGGGAACCUCUUCAGAACUGGAUGUAAUCACCAUCGAUAAGUCCGAUCCACAAGUCAAUCCAAACAAGACAUGGGAUAAUCGGUCACAGCGAGUCAGGGAUCCUGAGAGCCAGGAGGGGUGUCCUGUCUACUAAGGUUUCGGCCGGCCGGCCAGUCAGGUUAUCCGGUAAAGGUUUCAGCCGGCCGGUCAGUCAGGAUAUCCGGUAAAUGUUUCGACCGGUCAGUCAGGAUAUUCGGUAAAGGUGUCGGUCAGUCAGUCGGUAUAUUCGGUAAAGGUUUCGGUCAGUCAGGAUAUUCGGUAAAGGUUUCGGUCAGUCAGUAUAUUCGGUAAAGGUUUCGGUCGGUCAGUCAGGAUAUUCGGUAAAGGUUUCGGUCGGUCAGUCAGUAUAUUCGGUAAAGGUUUCGGUCGGUCAGUCAGGAUAUUCGGUAAAGGUUUCGGUCAGUCAGGAUAUUCGGUAAAGGUUUCGGUCGGUCAGUCAGGAUAUUCGGUAAAGGUUUCGGCCGGUCAGUCAGGAUAUUCGGUAAAGGUUUCGGUCAGUCAGGAUAUUCGGUAAAGGUUUCGGUCAGUCAGGAUAUUCGGUAAAGGUUUCGGUCAGUCAGUAUAUUCGGUAAAGGUUUCGGUCGGUCAGUCAGGAUAUUCGGUAAAGGUUUCGGUCAGUCAGGAUAUUCGGUAAAGGUUUCGGUCGGUCAGUCAGGAUAUUCGGUAAAGGUUUCGGCCGGUCAGUCAGGAUAUUCGGUAAAGGUUUCGGUCAGUCAGGAUAUUCGGUAAAGGUUUCGGUCAGUCAGGAUAUUCGGUAAAGGUUUCGGUCAGUCAGUAUAUUCGGUAAAGGUUUUGGCCGGUCAGUCAGGAUAUUCGGUAAAGGUUUCGGUCAGUCAGUAUAUUCGGUAAAGGUUUCGGUCGGUCAGUCAGGAUAUUCGGUAAAGGUUUCGGUCAGUCAGGAUAUUCAGUAAAGGUUUCGGUCGGUCAGGAUAUUCAGUAAAGGUUUCGGCCGGUCAGUCAGGAUAUUCGGUAAAGGUUUCGGCCGGUCAGUCAGGAU